rnacentral:rRNA from 1 species
UACGUAGGUGGCAAGCGUUGUCCGGAUUUACUGGGCGUAAAGAGCGCGCAGGCGGUCGUUCAAGUCGCGUGUGAAAGCCCCCGGCUCAACUGGGGAGGGUCACGCGAUACUGAUCGACUCGAAGGCAGGAGAGGGUAGUGGAAUUCCCGGUGUAGUGGUGAAAUGCGUAGAUAUCGGGAGGAACACCAGUGGCGAAGGCGACUACCUGGCCUGUUCUUGACGCUGAGGAGCGAAAGCCAGGGGAGCAAACGGG